AAAAAAUUCAGGAUGGUCUUGAAUGUAGUUUUCUAAAGCACCAGAAAGCAAUUAUCUGCCAUACCUCACUUUUUAAAAAAAGCAGAGCCAGAAGGUUACCUGCUGUUAGGGCCAUUCACAGUGGUAUUGUUUCAACUAGCACCCUCCAAUGUGGAUUACAUGAUACCUGUGAACCAGUUCUGAAGACUGUAUGUAGGAAAUCCCACUUUGCUGCCAAUUUGCCAAUCACCUCUGAUUUAUCAUGUGUAUCACCAGUUCUUCUGUGGUGUGCUGGCUGA
rnacentral:lncRNA from 1 species